CAGUCGCCGCGGUAAUACGUAGGGCGCGAGCGUUGUCCGGAAUCAUUGGGCGUAAAGCGCGUGUAGGCGGCUGAGUAAGUCUGCUGUGAAAGUCCAGGGCUCAACCCUGGAAUGUCGGCGGAUACUACUCAGCUGGAGUACGGGAGGGGCGAGUGGAAUUCCUGGUGUAGCGGUGGAAUGCGCAGAUAUCAGGAGGAACACCUAUGGCGAAGGCAGCUCGCUGGAACGUUACUGACGCUGAGACGCGAAAGCGUGGGUAGCAAACAGGAUUAGAUACCCCCGUAGUCCCUGUCUCUUAUAC
rnacentral:rRNA from 1 species